rnacentral:rRNA from 1 species
AACGAACGCUGGCGGCAGGCUUAACACAUGCAAGUCGAGCGAGGCCUUCGGGUCUAGCGGCGGACGGGUGAGUAGCGCGUGGGUAACCUGCCCUUGAAUCUGGAAUAACCCGCCGAAAGGCGGACUAAUACCGGAUAUUGUCCCGGAGUCGCAUGGCACUGGGAUGAAAGAUGACCUCUUCACGAAAGUUGUCGUUCAGGGAGGGGCUCGCGUACCAUUAGCUAGUUGGUAGGGUAAUGGCCUACCAAGGCGACGAUGGUUAGCUGGUCUGAGAGGAUGAUCAGCCACACUGGAACUGAAACACGGUCCAGACUCCUACGGGAGGCUG